GACGAACGCUGGCGGCGUGCUUAACACAUGCAAGUCGAACGGAAAGGCUCCAUCUUGCUGGAGUACUCGAGUGGCGAACGGGUGAGUAACACGUGGGUAAUCUGCCCUGCACUCUGGGAUAAGCCUGGGAAACUGGGUCUAAUACUGGAUAUGACCUUUCUCCUUAUGGGGUUUGGUGGAAAGUUUUUCGGUGUAGGAUGAGCCCGCGGCCUAUCAGCUUGUUGGUGGGGUGAUGGCCUACCAAGGCGACGACGGGUAGCCGGCCUGAGAGGGUGAUCGGCCACAUUGGGACUGAGAUACGGCCCAGACUCCUACGGGAGGCAGCAGUGGGGAAUAUUGCACAAUGGGCGGAAGCCUGAUGCAGCGACGCCGCGUGAGGGAUGACGGCCUUCGGGUUGUAAACCUCUUUCAGCAGGAACGAAGCGUAAGUGACGGUACCUGCAGAAGAAGCACCGGCUAACUAUGUG
rnacentral:rRNA from 1 species